AGGACGAACGCUGGCGGCGUGCUUAACACAUGCAAGUCGAGCGAGGCCCCUCCUUCGGGAGGGUGCCCUAGCGGCGAACGGGUGAGUAACACGUGGGCAACCUGCCCCUAGCACUGGGAUAACCCCGGGAAACCGGGGCUAAUACCGGAUACGACCUCGAGAGGCAUCUCUCGUGGUGGAAAAGGUUACUGGCUAGGGAUGGGCCCGCGGCCUAUCAGCUUGUUGGUGGGGUAACAGCCCACCAAGGCGACGACGGGUA
rnacentral:rRNA from 1 species